GCAAUUUUCAGUGCGGCUUGUUCGCGCUUCUUGCCGCCCGAAGUCUCGCAUCUCGCGGGACUUCGGGGGCAGUCGCGGGGGGGGGGGGCGGGGCGCUCGGAGCACGGGAUUCUCGGGCGCCAUCUUGGUGUUCCCUUAAUAUACCUUGUGGCGCCG